rnacentral:lncRNA from 1 species
GCUGUAGACUCCACACCCUUCAGUAUGGCAACACAACUACUUAAUCCUUAGAGGAUGUGCAGCCAAUCAAGGUGACUAGAGGCCUGCCAGGAGAGUUUACUAAAAGAUUUCAUUUCUCGGGUAUUCAGCUCUGUUUCCUGCCACCUUUGCAGCACUGGGGAAAAGCAAGUCAAUCAAAGAAACUGCUUUAAAAACUGUGACGUCAAGCUGGGUAUGGUGUCUCAUACCUGCACUUGGGACACUGAGGCAGGAGGACUGCUGAGAGUCUGAGACCAGCUUGGGCUACAAGUGAGACUGUCUCAAACAAAACAACCCCCCCCCAAAAAAAACAAAAAAA